rnacentral:rRNA from 1 species
UACAGGGGGUGCAAACGUUGCUCGGAAUCAUUGGGCGUAAAGCGCACGUAGGCGGUCUGUUAUGUCGGAUGUGAAAGCCCUUGGCUCAACUGAGGAAGUGCAUCCGAAACCGUCUGGCUAGAGUCCGGAAGAGGAGAGUGGAAUUCCCGGUGUAGCGGUGAAAUGCGCAGAUAUCGGGAAGGACCCCCGUGGGGAAGGGGGCUCUCUGGGACGGGACUGACGGUGGAACGCGAAAGGGUGGGGAGCGAACAGG